GUUCAAGUCGGGAGCCCUAGGGGAGGCUAUCUGGAGAUGUGACACCUGAGCAGCGUCUUUGAGAGAGAUGAAAAAGGCCUUACAGCCAAGGGGAACUACCCCGAGACGAAGGCACCGAGAAGAGAGAUAGCUUGGGGUCGUCAAGGGCCUACAAUUCGUUCUUUGUAAUGAAGCACAAAAUUUAGGUGUCCAGGCCUGGAGCUCAGAUCCAGUCUGGAGCCAGAGAAGCUGGGAGUUGUUAUUCAUUAAAUCAACAGGUAUUUCCUCAGUAUUUGUAUGUGCCAAGUUCUGUAGUGACUGCUGGGGGAUAUGGUCAGGAACAUUGCAAGCAUAAUCCCCACCUCAACUCAGAGAUCUCACUGUGGAGCCUACAGAAAAGGCAGUAAUUAAAACCUAGAGUGGAUAAAAUCAUAUAGGCAGGGAGUAGAGAAUAAGAUAAGGCCAAGGAUAGAGCCCUAGAGAAUAACAACAGUUAAAGGAUGGGCAGAGGAAAAAGAGCAAAAAGCAAGAGAAGCAAAAGAGAGAAAGCAGCAUAGUGCCAUGGUUAAGAAAUAAACUCUCGAACUGGAUGGCCUGGGUUCAAAGCCACCCGCCACCU
rnacentral:lncRNA from 1 species